rnacentral:lncRNA from 1 species
GGUUUGAACAAAAGAGGGAAUAAAAGGUUCUGUGAGCUUAUUAUCUCCCCUUGAAUACAGCUUCUUUGUCUUAUUUAAUGCUGAAAUGAUACUAUUAUACAUCAUUAUAUUCCCAGAAAUAUCAAAUUUGUCUUUUAUUUCCCCAUAUGAGAGAAACUUUCCACUAUUACUAAUCACAUCAUUUACAAAAACAAUACCUUUAUUAUACCAACUUCUAUAAAAU